UUUAUUUUUGUUGGUUUGAUUUUUUUUCAAACUUAUUAUUAUUAUUAAACUAUCAUUUUGAAAAUGUCCUUCUUCCCUUCUUUAUUUAAAAUUAUUUUCUUCCUAUUGCAAGGAGAGCUGAACAAGUAAAUUAGACCAUAUUUUUAUGUUAAAUAAUAACUCAUUUGACUACAAUUAUGUAAAGUAUAUUUAUGUCUGGUAGGCUUGCAUAUGAAAAUGUCGAAACGUCACACCCAAACUUUAUGACUUAAAAUGAAAGACAACUAUCUAAACUAGAUACGAGACAUAAAAAAUAAGAUAAACUAGGAAUAUUCGAAGCAUACAACCAUAGGCAAACACAUUUUGAACAAAUAUGACCGUAACACACUAGGACUGUGUUUUUUCCAAAUUUUUUUGUCAUCUAAUGCAAUUUUCCGACAAUUAAUUUAAUUGUUUUUAAAAAAUAGUACCCCUAAACCAAACACAACAAUGAUGCAUCACUUAACAUGAAGAACAUCAUUUAAAGUAAAGUUUAAUCUAAAAACUGAAUCAUGCUUCUAUAUACAUUACAAACAUCCCAACCUUUACCUAGUUCUUCCAUGAAGUUUAUAACAAAGACAACAUCAAAUACAGAUUUCGGCUAUUUGGAUGUACGUGCACAAACAAGAUUUCCACUCCCUUCGGAGGCAUUACAUAAAAAUGAAACGAUACAAAAAGAUUAGCAUAGCUUCUACACAAGGAUACCAUUUCAACGAGAUGUCUACCAUGCUGAGGGAAAUCGAAUCCACUGUGUAAGCAGUCCCUGUUCAACUUACUAACUAAACAAGGAAUUCAGCAUCAGAAACUUCAAGAACCUUGUGGAAACCUAUUGGCUUCACACCUUGCCGAAAUGCAUUUCCUUCAAUGUACCUAUCAACAGCAAGACCUUGGAGAAACAUAUCUACAGAAUGAAAAUUGAUAUGAAGUUCGAAUGUAGAAUUAACUCACAUCUCUUUUAAGAAUGGGUGUUUAUAGAAGGCAUCAGGGAUUCUUCCACUAAAUUGGUUGUGAUCCAAGUACCUAGAAUUAAAAUUUUCACAGUUGGUAAACAAAAUUUAAUGGAAAACAAAACACAAAUGAUACGAAGAUACUUGCAAAGACACUGACUUUGUAAAGAAGAAAAAAAAUAACUGACAUGUAUAACAAUAAAUGACGAUCGUGGAAAGAUUUAUAACAGAAGAGUGGUCUGUACUUUGUUGAAUUCUUUUAUUGACGUAAGGAAGCAAAUCAAUCUUCAUGAUCUUCACAAUUGAAUACGUCUAAUAGGUUUCAUCCAUACUUAUUAUUUUGGGAAACAAUUUAUGAAGAACUGUAUUCUUUAUUAUCGCAAGUUGUUAGUUGAAAGAAAGAGAAAAAUUUGCACUCGAUAACUUCUUUAGAGUUGCAAGCUGAGAAAUGUCAUAGAUUAAACCAAAUACAACUGAAGAAGGAUAAAAAAAAGACUUACAGAUAGGUCAACUUAGGUAUAUGAGCAACCCCAGGUGGUAUUAUCCCAGACAUCUUGUUGUAGGAGAGGUACCUAAACCAAACAAACAAAACAAAAUGUUUAGAUAAAACUGAUGUAAUAUACUUGAGAACAAAAGCGCGAAUUUUUAGAUAACCAAAUUACAGAAUUUCCAAGUUAGUCAGGUUUGCAAGCUGUGAUGGAACUCCUCCCGUAAAAUAAUUAUUGUUGAUGUACCUACAUGGAAAAUAGAAAUAAACUAGCUGAUGAAGUAUUUAAGGAAACAAAAUUGAAUAUGACACGCCCUGACUUCAAUUAACUUACAGGUUGCGGAGUGAUGGAAAACAGCCCUCAAGGCGAAUCAGCUCCCUUAUGGUUCCUACUAAAUGGUUGUUGCCAAGAUCCCUUUACAAAAUCCAAAUGACAGGUCAAACAUUAAAAAGCGAUGCAUAACUUUCGAUAAAGAAAAGAAAAUGUCCAAAGAACAGAAGUUUACAGUUGCCGAAGAUUGGGUAGGGUGCCCAGUUCAGGAGGAAUUUUCCCUGAAAGGCGAUUUUCAUUUAAAUGGAGAUAGCGGAGCUCCCGUAGAGUAACAAGUUCUUUGGGGAUUUCUCCUUUGAAAUUAUUGAAACCCAAAUAUCUGCAUAAGCUCAAAAUUGCAACAGAAAUGAAUAGAUUAAAAUGCAAGAAAUUGGUAAAACAAUUUAUACCCGAAAUUAAAAUUACUUACAAAUGAGUUAGGCCCUUUAGUGCACCAAUCUCAGGAGGGAUGACAUCUUGAAGUUUAUUCCACCUUAAAUUCCUGUGAACGGAAUUUUGCAAAACUAUAAUUAAAAUAAUACAUCAACAAAUGGUCAGCAACGACCAAACUUUUGAACCAUAAUCUUCAUGACAUGCACGUAAUUGCUUGUUAAUUGUUAUUGACAUUCGGUUUAGCAAGCUAUUCUUUUUCUUGAAAAAGGAAACCAUAUUGGAACUGUUUUUUUUUUCUCUUUUUUUUAUUUCCUAAAAUAAUAUGCCAUCUACAGAAACAUUGGACUUUGAACUCUUUUAAAAUAAACAGGAAUCAGAAAAAAUCACAGGAAAAAAGUGCAAGGGAUGUACAGUAUUUUGAGACGUCUUAACCGUCCAAUUUGAGGAGGAAUUGGUCCAGUCAACUUGUUAUUAUGAAGAUCCCUGUUAUAAGAACAAACACAGGCAUACACAUCGUAAGCAUUUGAAGAGAUAGGAGUCCAUUCUCCCCUUCACCAUCUUUCAUUUAAAUCCUAACAAAAAGUUGAUGAAUCUAAAAUAAGUUACAUUAGAUGUGAUUUUAGGCAAGAGAUGUUUAUAUAACUGCAAUAAUGAUAAUAACCAUAUACUGAAUCAUUGACUGUGAUGGAUGAAAAUGCAACAAUUGUCUACUAACAAAACUACUUUGUACAUCAGAAGGCCACAGUUCGAAUCAGAGUAACGAAGAGUAGAAUUUUAAUUGAUCGUGGAGCAAGGAUGACUUACAAUACACUGUCACGUAUUUAAAUAGCCUCAAAGGAUUCUACUCGUCACUCGGUGGGAAUUGCAUUAGAAUAAAAUUUCUGUUUAAAAGACUAAUCAUUUGCUGAUUGAGGAACGGGCGAUUCAUGGUAGGUAGAUUGAGCAUAAUGAGAUUUGGUUAGAUUUCACAUGUCCCUUUGGGCUUCGAUUUUGAAAACCUUUUGUAAUUAUUCCAUUGAUAAUAUUUUACUUAGUUGGUCCCGUGUUUUGGUGGGCUUGUUUUUUUUUGUAUGCCCUUUAUUCUUUCAUUUUUUCCUUAUGAAAGUUGUUAUUAUAGAGAGAAAAAAAAAACUAUAACCAUUUGCUAACAUCUUUCUUUAUUUUCAAUCGACUUUCAAAUUUGUUUUCAAAAUUGUAGCCAAAUUUUAAGAACUAAAAUAAAUAGUUUUUAAAAAAACUGUUUUUUAUUUACGAAAAUUUGGCUACGAUUUCAAGACUGUUUUUUGAAAAUUUAAAACUAAACAAAGAAAGCAUUAUAUCUGCAGUUUUUUAGAAUAUUAACUGGAAACGGAAUUCUCAUUAUCAGAAAACAUAAACAAUGUAAGAUUAAUGAAAAAAUAAACGAAAUCAUAUCCCUAAACUGCCCAGGAAUUAUCAUAUUUUCUUCGGAAAUUUUCAACGACAAUGGCGAAAUUACCAGUCUAUCUCCCCAUUCAUUAUUUCAUCGGUACAUGAAAAUGAUAAAAUGAAGAUUAAGGAAAGAAGAAAUCUCACAGCCUAGUAAGGUCCAAGAGAUUGGUAACCGCAACAGGAAAAGGUCCAACAAUAGAAACCGCAUAGACUUCUCUGCAAAGAAAUGAUGACAAACAAAAAUGAAACUAGUCCUGAAACAAAACUUGUCGAGAAGUAGCUGAACAUUUCAGUAGUUAAAUUACAAGGAAGAGAAGAAAAAUUGGAAAUUACAAUUCAGUGACGACUCUGUAAUCUCCUUGAGUGGAACAGGUAACGCCGGACCAGGGUGGAAGGUGAGAAGCACCACAGGGAUCAUCUCCUACCCAGGAAUACACCACUCUCCAGCCGAGAGAGGCUUUGAUUUCAGUCAAAGCUUUCACUGCAAGAAAACAAAAACCCUAGUGUUAAACUCAACGGAAUUUAGCUUGAUAAGAGUGGGAAAGAAGAAGGAGAAGAGAAAGUACCAUCCCGCUUCAAGGUUUUGCAGAGAACAGAUUGAUGAGGAAGAGCAAAAAGGAAGAGGAUGAAGGAGAACGGUAUGAAUGGAAAUUGGUGCCCCAUUUUCAGUUCCUAUUCUCCCCCUGCCAUGGCUCUUCUCCAUUGUUUUGUUAAUUUUAUUAAUUGCAAGUUCCACUAGUGGCUUUUGUAAAACGUGUUUAUUUUCUAUUUGGUCUCCAAAAUUUGGAAGGUCACAUUUUGAUAUUUUUGUUAGAUCAUGUUUAGGCCCUUUAACAAUUAAUGAUUUGCUUCAAAAACAAAUAAAUGUUAAUUUUUGAGAUAAAGGACACUUGCAAAAAUCACAAAAUAAGUUAUAAUAAUUAAGUUCAUAUCACACGCAUUUUAUUAUUUGUGAAAAUGGCAAAAACGAAAUCCAACCUAUAGGUAAAAUGUCACAAAUACCCUCAUUACUAAUAUACGUUUGAUACACCUUAUAUACGUCUGAUACACAUAAUACACGUCUGAUACACCUAAUACACCCCUUGAUACACCUUAUACUUCUUGAUACACCUGAUACUUCUUGAUACACCCGAUACAUUUGAUUGAUAAACUUGAUACACCUGAUACUCUUUGAUACACUCAUACCGAAACAUACUAAUAUAUGUUUGAUACACCCGAUACACUGCAUAUACAUUUAGUAUUCUUCACUUAUACAAUUGAUUGAUUAAAUGCACUUGAUAUGCUUGAAGUCCUACUUAUACACUUGAUAUACACUUGUAAACUCGAUUCAUAUAAUUUAUAAUAAUUCAUUUUGCUGAUAUGUUUUAACAAUAUACUGUUGAUAUAUUUGAUAAUUAUACACUGAGUUACAUCAUUCAUAUACUUAAUAAUAUUCUAAUGAACUAAAUAAAAUUUGAAAAAAUGAAAAUCACGUAGUAAGUAUAUUAACCAACUAAUACAUAUAAUAUAAGUAGAUCACAACACUGACAUACGAAACUGAGACAAAGUAAAACCAAAAAAUUAAUGUAAAAAAGUAAAACAAAAUCAUUUGGAAUCAAAUUCAACUCAAAAUACACAUAGAAGAAAAUAAAAAAAAAUUACAAAUGAAGUUAAAUUACUCCAAUCAACAAUAAUUGUAUUAUAUUAUUCAUAUUACAAUUAUUGUAUUAUUGAUAUUUUAAAAUUAAGAUUAAGACAGAAAGAAUAAAUAAUUUUUAUAUUAUAAAAAUAAACAAAUAAUUAGGGCCUUAAAAAGUAUAAGCAUAAAUAAAUAAUGUCUAGGACAUUAAAAAGAGGAAGAAAAAUAAAUUAUUGAAGGGUAGUUUAGGAAUAAUAUCAAAUUUAAGAUGGAGAAGUGAAAUUUUUGUCAUAUUUGCAAAAUUCUAAAACAAUAUGUUAUAAUUGCUAUAUCAUAUUAUCAAAAUGUUAUCCUAUGCAAUUUCUCUAACAACUUUAUAUAAAUAGUGUAUUUUUUCUAUAAUUAUGCAUAUAACAAUUAUUUCAUAAGCGGAUUGACCAUAUUAGUAAUAAUAAAUUGUUAAGCAUUAUAAUGGCAAUGCAAUCCUUUUAGGGGAAUAAGACGAUGAAAUUUUCAUUAAACUAAUGAUACACACGUUAAAUCCAUCGAGAUUAGGGAAAUAAAAUCCUUUUAUGGAAUUAUCGCUAAAUGAAGUAUAUUUUCCAUAGACAUUAUUUAUUAUCAUUUAAAAAUUGAUUUUAAAGUUUGAUUUAAAACCACAAAAACACUAAAAAAUAUUAUUCAAAUGUCAAUAUUCCAAAAAAGUCGUGAGAAUAAUAUGAUUUUUAUCUGAAAUUAUUUAAUUAUAUCAAUUUUCCUACGUAGUUUUUUAAUCUGACUUUUAUUUUGAGGUACAACAAUAUUCGAAUGAAUUUGUUUUCAAUUUUGGAAUUCUUUCACGGCAGCUGUCAAUUUUAUUGUUCGCAUUUAUCGUACGCCUGUUUUGAAAUUCUUUUAGAACAGCUGUGGACUGUCUUAGAAUUUCUUUACUUUAUCCUCUACCGUUUCUUAUAAUGACAAUGCAACAUGUGAAGACUUUUUUUUUAUGGUAGAUGGAUAGAAUCUUCUCCAUAUAUUGAUUACCGUGUGGUUGAUGUAUUUGUUCCAUGCUCAUCUUCAUUUCAAGAAUUCUUACAGUUAGGUCCAACCACACACAUCAUUUGACAUCCGAUGCAAAGAUUUGUCAUGUUCAUGGUAUUUACGUGCCUCUGUGUUAAAAAAAAGUGAUAUUUGAAUUGUUCGUAAGUUUACGGAUACACACUUGUGUGUCGUUGACAUUGUUAAAAAUGAUCACAGGCAAGCAACAUCUUGAAUUGUUUCUGAGUGUACAAAGUCAUUUUUUAAAAUGAAUGACAAGGCUCCAUGUUGUCCUUUUGAUGUUAUUAAUUACAUGAAGAUUAAUCAUGUGGUAAAUGUAAGUUAUGAUAAGGCUUGGAGAGGAUGUGAGAUUGCACUAAAUUCCAUUAGGGGUACCCCGGAGGACUCUUAUGCAAUGUUGGCAGCAUUCACGGGUGCAUCGAUUAGAAACAACCCAGAUAUAAUAUAUAUAUCAAAUACUAUGUAUUCUCUAUUAAGUAUUUUACUCAUUAUGGAAAUGCACAUUCUAAUAUCUUGUUUACAUAAUUACUAGGAACGUAUACAACUGAAGAAUCAAACAAUGAAGGUCGAUUCAAGUUCCAUUUCAUGGCCCUUGCAGCUUCAAUUGAUGCAUGGAAUUAUUGUGUGCCAAUUAUUUUAGUUGAUGGUGCAACGUUGAAGAACAAAUAUUUUGGUAAAUGUAAGGUCAAAUAUUUUGGUACGUUGAAGAAAAUUCUCAAAUUGUGCCUCUAGCUUUUGUUGUGGUUGAUUCAGAGAAUUAAUAACGGUGUUAAUAAGAGUGGCCUAUUAAAUGUAGUCUUAACUAGUAACGGUGUUAAUAAGAGAGACUAUUCAUUUCGUGGUCCGAUCUUAUACAAACUCUUUGUAUAAAAUACCCCUGCUGUAAUGUCUCGACAUGAAUGAUUAUGAUCAAAUCAUUUGUAGCACUUUACAACAAUUGUAACAACUACAAAGCAGACCGUAUUCGUAGUGUCACCAGAAUAAGGUAUUCAGCCUUAUCCAUCUACUACAGACCAUUUAGGUUAUCAUUUAAACAUGAUCCACUUGUAUGUCUCCACACACUUUAUUUUAUUAGAUAAAUAAAAUGCUUGUAUAAUAUAUACAAUUACAAACUAUAAAAUCAGAAGAUUUAGAGCAUCAAUCCCAACAUUUUACACGUCAAGUAAUCCAGUGUCAAGAAUAAGAGGAUUUUUGUUUGACAGUUUUUACGCGUCAAGUAAAAUUAUGCUUGACAGUUUAUAAACGUCAAGAAUAUGUUUAUUCUUGACACAUUUUGCAUGUUAAGUUUUUUUUUUCUUUCAAAUGAAAAAUUGUACAAUUUAAAAUAUUCAUAUAAUUAUAUUAAACAUGUUUUGAAGUUCAUUCACACACAUAUAAGUAGUGCCUUUGAGAUUACACAAAGUUGCUAAACUACGCAUAUUAAAUUAAACAAUUAAAUCAGUCAAAACUUUCCAUCAAAGAACUAAUAACUUUAACAAAUUGCAUAUAUCAUUGAACCAUACAUAUAAUACUUAGUCAUUACAUAAUUAAUUACAAUACCCUAAACUUCUACCAUAUGAACAUAUUGUUCUACAUAACUCUAUGUCUAAUAUGAAAAUUUUUAAAGUUUGUAAAAUGUAAAUAUAAGAAAAAGCUAACAUUUCGUCAAUGCUCUAGAUUCUUUUACCUAUAAUUGUACAAAUAUUACAAAGUGUAUGAUAAUGUAUAUACAUUAAAACGUUGGUUGUUUGUUUUCAUAUGCGUGUGUUGCAUAGUACUUUGUGAUUGAACUAGUCUGUGUAAUGGUAGAGCAACAAGAAAAAUAUGACAAGAAAAAAAAAUGUAGAAUAGAGGACAUUUGCUUUUUUUAAAACAAAAAAUUGUCAAGAUAAAGGCAUUCUUGACAGUUAAUUAUAAUCAUGCUAGGUGUUUUAUUGACAUUUAAUAAUUGUCAUGAUUGACAUAUUCUUGACAGAAAAAAUGUCAAAAUAUAUGAAUUCAUAACAGAUAUAUCAAUAUGCAAUAAUGACAGAUAAUUACUGUAAUUUGUGUUAAUUGAUGACAAUUAUUUAUUGUCAUAAAAAAUAUAUAAUAACAACAUUUACUAUUUGUAAUAAUAGUGGAUAUGUGACAUUUAUUUUCUGUCAUGAAAACACUUAUUGUGACAGUUUUUCAAACGGUCAUAGAUAGUCUUUCUUUGACAGACUAUACAAUGACAUUGAAAAAAACUGUCAAAAAUCUUAACUAUGACAAACUUUAACUAUCGUUGUAGGCCAUUUUUCUUGUGGGUGAAAAGUUCUCACUUAUCUUUAUAAUACUGAUUUUGUGUUAAAAUAGAAUUAGUUGACGAUGGAAAUCACGUAUGAAAUGACAUAAUUAUAAAACAUGGGUAAUGUGUCCUGAUACAAGAAAAUUUUGUUAACAUAUUGUUAUUGUUCAAAUGUUUUCUUUAACAAUAAAAGUGUCAUGGCUUAGAUAUUCUUCACAAAUAAAAGAUGUCAUUAUAUAUAUACCUUUUGAUAUUUUAUUGUUGCCAUCAAUGACCAUACUGCUACAACAGAUAGCCAAUUUUCUGAUUAUCACAAUGAUUUCACAUGUCAAAGGAUACGUGACAGGAACAAUUUCUAAACAUCAGGUUAAUUUCAUUGUCUAUGGUAGAUUAUUGUCAUCUAAGAAGAUAUUAUAACAAUUUUUUCCAAUGUCAGUUGAUGAUCAUAUAUCUUUCCAAGGGAUACCAAAAAUGCAAAAUAAUUUUCAUGAAUACUUCUUGUGAUAGUUUUUAGAUGCAGGAACAUCCCAAUUUUGUUGGAGGGUUUGUGGUUUCUUUCAAUUAUCAUCUUCUUCCUAAAUGAAUAAUGUUUCAACUAAAAUAAUUGAGAAAAACUGAAAUGAAAAAUAGAAAAAGUAGACGACGUUAAUAAACUUUUAAUAGUAGGGAGAUGAUAUUGAGGUGUGAAAUUACACAUGUAACCAAGACCAUAGGUUAACUAAAUUUAACAUCCUUUCAUCUACCAUGUAGCUAAUAAAAAAAUUUCCAAAUUUCCAAAUUUCCCUUCAAAUUUCACCAAGUUUCAAGAUUUAUCCAAAUUUUAUGUAAAAAAAUAAAAGAAAUGUCCAAAAUUCAUUGAAAUUGAAAUUUUCAUUUUAUCGUAGUUAUAACUACAUGUUCAAAAAGAAAAUUGCAUCAAAUGACAAAAACAUCUAGAAAAAACAGCCCAUUACACCUUUUGUUUUUCUUUUUUGCAUAUUGUGAAUUUGACAAGUAAUUAGUGAUAUUAGACGACUAUUCGAACGUUAUCAAAGGGUUAUCAAAAAGCUAUCGGACUGUUAUUAAAGGACUAUCAGUUUUAAAUUUGCUACUUUUACAAUUUGGAAAAUGUAGUGACACGAGUCUUAUUAUCAUAAUUUCUUUUGCUAUUUUUAUAAGUGCCCUUACAAAGUGAAGUACAUGUAUAUAUGCGGGACAAGAUUAGAGAACAUGAAAGGGAAAGAGACCUAAUUGAGAGAGACAAGAAACAAAGGUAAGUAUCAUAAUUCUAUUUUAUUUAUAUAUAUAUAUAUAUGUAGGUAUAUAUAUAUAGGUAUAUAUAUAUAGGUAUAUAUAUAUGUGGUUGUAUAUUGUUAAGUAGCAGCUAGUUUAGUGUUGUAAAUGCUCAGGAAGAACAGGUCCAAAUUCCAUGAGUUGUAACGCUGCCCGUUGAUUGUAAAAUACUAUAGCUGUAUAAGUCCAAAGAAAUCCACCAGAGUUUAUAGCUUCCAACACAAGCGUGAAACAUAUUUGACCGAACCUUCGUCCCUGUUCCAACCCAUUUAUUGCCCUCUGGAACUGCAGUUUGUCACCUGUAAUUUCAUUAUGCCUUUCUGUUGCAAACCUUGCAUAUCCUUGAAUUUCUGCAGAAUCAAUAUCCUUAAUUGGCACUGGAGGAACAUCAAAAUUCCUAGAACACAUUGCUAACACCUUUCCACGACAGAUAUGUAUACUUUGGAACAGACUAUGUUUAAUUGCUUUUGAAUAUAAUAUGCAUGGGAACGGGUUCCAUAUUUAUAGUGUUGGCGUUCAAUGUUCUACCAAUUGAUGUCAUCGAAUCUAAUUUUUAUGAAGUAAAUGAAGGAAUAGUAGCUAGCGAGAAGGUGUUUAGAGAAGAUAGCUUCGAAUCAAUUCCUUUUGAUAAUUAUAUUGAGCUUCCUAUUCAUUCCUUAAACUAACUCUCAAAUUUUGGCUUUUCCUUUGCAUUCUCAUCACUUU
rnacentral:lncRNA from 1 species